rnacentral:rRNA from 1 species
CGCAGCCUUGAUGCAGCAACGCCGCGNUGGGGGAUGAAGGCCUUCGGGUUGUAAACCCCUUUUAGCAGGGAAGAAGCGAAAGUGACGGUACCUGCAGAAAAAGCGCCGGCUAACUACGUGCCAGCAGCCGCGGUAAUACGUAGGGCGCAAGCGUUGUCCGGAAUUAUUGGGCGUAAAGAGCUCGUAGGCGGUUUGUCGCGUCUGCUGUGAAAGUCCGAGGCUCAACCUCGGAUCUGCAGUGGGUACGGGCAGACUAGAGUGUGGUAGGGGAGACUGGAAUUCCUGGUGUAGCGGUGGAAUGCGCAGAUAUCAGGAGGAACACCAAUGGCGAAGGCAGGUCUCUGGGCCAUAACUGACGCUGAGGAGCGAAAGCGUGGGGAGCGAACAGGAUUAGAUACCCUGGUAGUCCACGCCGUAAACGGUGGGCACUAGAUGUGGGGCUCUUUCCAUGAGUUCCGCGUCGCAGCUAACGCAUUAAGUGCCCCGCCUGGGGAGUACGGCCGCAAGGCUAAAACUC